rnacentral:rRNA from 1 species
AACGUUGGCGGCGUGCGUAACACAUGCGAGUCGAACUGAGAACUGGGGAGCUUGCUCCCCGGGGGACAGUGGUGAACGGGUGAGUAAGACGUGAGUAAUCUGGCCUCGAGCGGUGGAUAACUCCGUGAAAGCGGAGCUAAUACCGUAUGAAACUUUGGAGCAUAAGCUUUCAAAGUCAAAGCGUUCGGGUGCUUGAGGAUGAGCUCGCGGACUAUUACCUUGUUGGAAUGGUAACGGCCUACCAACGCAACGAUGGGUAGCCUGGCCUGACAUGGUGUUCGGUCGACACUGGGACUGCGACACGGCCCAGACUCCUACGGGAGGCAGCAGUGGGGAAUUUUGCGCAAUGGGCGAAAGCCUGACGCAGCGACGCCUCUGUGGAGGAUGAAGGUUUUCGGAUUGUAAACUCCUGUCAGAGGUGAAGAAAGCCCUUAUGGUGUCUGACCGGUAACCGUCAGAGCGAAGCCCCCGGCUAACUACGUGCCAGCAGUCGCGGUAAUACGUAGGGGGCAAACGUUGCUCGGAAUUACUGGGCGUACAGGGUGCGCAUGUGGCUGAGAAAGUCGUUGAUGAAAUCCCGGGGCUUACCCCCGGAACUGUCUUCGAUACUUCUCAGCUUGAGGAUAGUCGAGGAGAACGGAAUUCCCG